GGCUGUAGCUCAGCGGAAGAGCCUCUGCUUUUCAUGCAGGCGGCCCAGGUUCGAUCCCUGGCAGCACCU